GUGCACCAGUCGAGAAUCAUCCGCAAUGCGCGCAAGCGUGACGGUGCGACGCCGCGUGCGGGAGGAAGCCCCUCGGGGUGUAAACCGCUUUUCAGGGGUAUGAAGCGGCUUCGGUGAAUAGCCGGAGUCGUUGACGUCAACCCCUGGAAUAAGCCCCUGCUAACUUCGUGCCAGCAGCCGCGGUAAUACGGAGGGGGCAAGCGUUGCUCGGGAAUCACUGGGCUUAGAGCGGGCGUAGGCGGUCCGGUCAGUCGGAUGUGAAAUACCUCGGCUUAACCGAGGAAGGGCGUCCGAUACUGCCGGGCUUGA
rnacentral:rRNA from 1 species